CAUAGAGGUACGGGGGAGGCCGUCGUCGUGUAUGCCCGACUUCCGGUUAGGCUGAGUCCCGAGAUUUCAGCCCUGCGUUGGAGCACAAGAGUGGCAGGUGUAUUACUCUUGCCUGAAAACCAAAGGUGUGCCUCCACACUCACCUUUGGAUGGCGCAGCAGAAACCUGGCCGCCUGUUCAAAAUACUCAAGAUGGAAAUCGCCCAUGACUUGAGGGAGAUCCUCAAAAUUAAAAUAUGGCAAGGCAAGAGCAGCAAAGCCAUGUGUGGCCAGAAGGCUGGAUCGGAAUUCAAUUAACCCGCCUUCAUCACCAAACAUAUCUAUCACUCCUGGAAAGGGGCCAUUUCCUAAUAAUAAAAACAGAAAGAAUAAUGAUGUUGGGACAGGACACUGAAAGAAUAUAAAGGAAGACAAUCUGUUUUAUAUAUAUAUACUAGCUUGGGUACCUGGUGUUGCCUGGGUUAUUUGAAAAAGUCUAUUUUUAAUUGUACAAAAUACAUAAGAUUGUGGAUUAACUACAACUGACAUAAUGCCAGGUUAACCCCGAGAAGGUCCAUCAGUACUUAAAGUUUGUUAUCUUGUGCAAGUUUGCUCUGGAUGCAUCAUUGGUGGGUUCAGUGUGCUCUCUGGCUGUAGGGUAAACUACAGCUCUCACUAUGGUGAAUCAGUCACUCCCUUCAAACCCCUCCAGUAGGUUGAGUUAGUUAUGGGGGUUAUGUGUGCCAAGUUUGGACCAGGUCCACCAUUGGUGGAGGUCACAGUUUCUCUGGUUGUGGGUGAACUACAACUCCCAGAAAAGGUCAGUUUCUCCCAAAUCCCUCCAGUAAUCAAAUUUCGGCAAUCAGGUGUGUGCGCCAAGUUUGGUCCAGAUCCAUCAGUGUUUGGGUUCACAGUGCUCUCUGGAUGUAGGUGAACUACAACUACCCCAAAUCAAAGUGAAUUUUCCCCAAAGACCUCCAGUAUUUUUUGCUGGGCAUGGAGGCUCCAUGUGCCAAGUUUGGUCCAAUUCCAUCUUUGGUGGAGUUCAGAGUGCUCACUGAUUGGAGGUGAACUUAUUAAUCCUAGUACCUACAACUCCAAAAUGUCCGGGCCAAUUCCCCUCAAAACCCACAAAUACUCAAAUUUGGGCAUAUCGGGUCUGCAAUGCCAGGUUUGGUCCAGAUCCAUCAUGGUUUGGGUUCACAGUGUGUUAGGUGAACUACAACUCCUAUAAAUCCCUCCAAAGACCUCUGGUAUUUUUUGUUGGUCGUGGGGGGUUCUGUGUGCCAAGUUAGUUCCGGGACCAUCAUUGGUGGAGUUCAGAUUGCUCUUGGAUUGCAGGUGAACUAUGCAUCCCAAUACCUAUAACUGCUAUAAAUCAUGGGGAAUUCUCCCCAAACCUGUCUAGUAUGUUCAGUUGCUAAUAAAUUCUAGUAUAUUC